GAUAGAAAAGGGGCAAAAAGAAAUCAAAUCAUGGUUUUCGAUACGUGUAUCAAUUUUCUCUUAAAAUUUCACCUCUCCUCAUUCUCCCUCUUUAGCUCCGUUCUCCACAUUUGCUUCAAUCGUGAAAUUAUAAUGAUAGCCAACAUCUGAUUUGAAAAAUUAACCGGACCGUAGAACGUUCUCGAUAGAUGAUUUUCUAAUUAAAUACCUACUUGAAAUAUGUACUAAGAAAAAUAGUUUACGCGUCUAUUUAUUAUUAUUAUUAUUGUGUUCAUUUUCAUUUGAUUGCAAAGUUGAUCAAGUGAAUAUUUGUAAUUCUAAUUCGACCAUAUUGUUGUUUCAAUUUCAUAGUUAGGUACAUAAUUAUUUUUUCGCCGCAAUCUCAAUGUUGCGAGUGAAGGUAUUUUCAAUUCUCUUAAUCAUUCUGUGUUCGACGACGUUAUCAAUCGUCAGUUCAGAUUCAAAACCAGAGCCAGAACCAGAUCCAGCAGAACCAGAGCCAGAGCCAGAACCAGAACCAGAAGCGUACGAGUAUUCGCCAAUACGAGGCGAUAUUUGCAUUUUGAACGCUUGUUGUAAAGGAGAAAACCAAUUUUGUUCCAGACCCGCGUUUAUUUUGCCAAUUUUCGGAAUCUGUGCGACGAGACCCAUCGAAUACGACUGAGAUAAUUUUUGAUUGAAUUGGCAUGCGCUAUAUAGGUCGCCAUGUUGCGAGUACGUAUGGUUUUAAUUGUUUCCAUCGUUGCGUGUUCGACGUUACCAAUCAUGGGUAGUUCAGAAAAACAAGGCAGCUGGUGUAUGACUAGUUUGGGCUGCAGAUCUGACCAAGUUUGCUACAGGUCUCCUUAUAAAUUUCUCUUCGUGGGAAAAUGUAUACCGAGAAAAGUUGGUCUUUGUUUUUUCAACUCUUGUUGCGAAAAAGAAAACCAUCGAUGUUACAGAUCUCCUUACAGAUUCAUGCUUAUGGGAAAAUGUGGUGAAAAAAAAACGUGAGAUUAUUUUUGAUGGAAGUUUCUUUGUACAUAUUAAAUCAGUAUUUUUAAAUAAUAAUAUUACUCAUGCUAACUAUACCAACGCAGUCCUGCUGAAUUUGAUGGAGUAGUCGUACAAUAUCGCAUACACAAAGAUAGCAAAUGCUAGUGAAAUUGUGUGAAAUUGAAUAAUAAAUAUUUCGAAAAUGGCUA